GAUGAACGCUAGCGGCAGGCCUAACACAUGCAAGUCGAGGGGUAACAUAGGAGAGCUUGCUCUUUUGAUGACGACCGGCGCACGGGUGAGUAACGCGUAUACAAUCUGCCUUGUACAGGAGUAUAGCCCAGGGAAACUUGGAUUAAUCCUCCAUAGCCUAUAUAGACAACCUUGUCCUUAUAGUAAAGAUUCAUCGGUACAAGGUGAGUAUGCGUCCUAUUAGUUAGUUGGUAAGGUAACGGCUUACCAAGACAGCGAUAGGUAGGGGCCCUGAGAGGGGGAUCCCCCACACUGGUACUGAGACACGGACCAGACUCCUACGGGAGGCAGCAGUGAGGAAUAUUGGACAAUGGGCGAGAGCCUGAUCCAGCCAUGCCGCGUGCAGGAAGACGGCCCUAUGGGUUGUAAACUGCUUUUAUACGGGAAGAAACCCCACUACGUGUAGUGGGCUGACGGUACCGUAAGAAUAAGGACCGGCUAACUCCGUGCCAGCAGCCGCGGUAAUACGGAGGGUCCGAGCGUUAUCCGGAAUCAUUGGGUUUAAAGGGUCCGUAGGCGGGCAGCUCAGUCAGUGGUGAAAGUUUGCGGCUUAACCGUAAAAUUGCCAUUGAUACUGGUUGUCUUGAAUCGGUGUGAAGUGGUUAGAAUGAGUAGUGUAGCGGUGAAAUGCAUAGAUAUUACUCAGAAUACCGAUUGCGAAGGCAGAUCACUAACACUAUAUUGACGCUGAGGGACGAAAGCGUGGGGAGCGAACAGG
rnacentral:rRNA from 1 species